CAGCCCAGAUGGAGGAAGUUCUUGGCUCAUGUUGGGCCUGGAGCUCUUGUGGCCAUUGGCUUCCUGGAUCCUAGCAACUUGGAAACUGACAUGCAAGCUGGAGCUGACUGCAAGUAUGAGCUUCUGUGGGUCAUCUUAGUUGGGAUGAUCUUUGCGCUCUUUAUACAAACAUUAUCCGCCAACCUUGGAGUGAAAACAGGGAAACACCUUGCCGAACUCUGCAGGGAAGGGUAUCCCCCCUUCGUCAAUAUUCGCUUAUGGAUCAUUGCAGAGCUUGCAGUAAUUUCUGAUGAUAUCCCUGAAGUGUUGGGUACCGCCUUUGCAUUCAACAUAUUGUUCAAAAUUCCUGUGUGGGCUGGAGUUAUCCUCACGGUGUUCAGCACCGUCUUGCUUCUUGGGGUGCAGAGAUUUGGUGCCCGGAAACUGGAGUUCAUCAUAGCAGCGUUCAUGUUCACCAUGGCAGGCUGCUUCUUCGGAGAAUUGAGCUACGUUAGUCCAUCUGCUAGAGAGGUGACCAAAGGCAUGUUUGUCCCCUCUCUGCGAGGGAAAGGUGCUGCUGCCAAUGCGAUCGCGCUCUUUGGCGCUAUCAUCACACCGUACAACUUGUUCUUGCACUCUGCCCUGGUCCUCUCAUGGAAGACCCCACGGUCAAACAAAAGCAUCCGAGCGGCCUGCAGAUACUUCCUCAUAGAGUGCGGCCUUGCUUUCGUCGUGGCGUUCCUCGUUGCUGGAUCUAUUUGCAGUGCUAAUAAUCUCUCUCCGGCCGAUGCUGGCGCGUGUGGCGAUCUUACUCCUCAAUCUGCACCUCUGCUGCUCAGAAAUGUUUUGGGGAGAUCAAGCUCUGUUGUGUAUGUGGUUGCGCUGCUAGCUUCUGGGCAAAGCACCACAAUUAGUUGCACAUUCGCUGGGCAGGUCAUCAUGCAGGGGUUUCUGGACAUGAAGAUGAAGAACUGGGUUAGGAACCUCAUCACCCGGGUCAUCGCCAUUGCUCCAAGCCUUAUAGUCUCCAUUGUGAGCAGUCCGUCAGGCGCUGGCAAGCUAAUCAUCCUUUCCUCGAUGAUUCUUUCGUUUGAGAUGCUGUUCGCUCUCAUCCCUCUCCUCAAGUUCUGCAACAGCAACAAGAAAGUAGGACCCCUCAAGGAGUCCAUCUAUACGGUGAUCAUCGCGUGGGCCCUCAGUGUGGCACUCAUCAUUGUCAACACCUACUUCCUGGUAUGGACCUACAUAGACUGGCUGGCACAUAACCACCUCCCAAGGUACACCAACGUGCUGGUCUCUGUGGUCAUCUUUGCGCUCAUGGCUGCCUACCUCGUCAUCGUUGUGUACCUGACGUUUAGGAAAGACAUGGUGGUGACUUACGUACCAGUGGCAGAGAGGGUGCAGGGCCAGGCGGAGGCUGGUAGGGCACCGGUGUUGGCGUCCGGUGCAGACGGGGACCAGCCAGCGCUGUACAGGAAAGACCUAGCCGAUGCCUCAAUGUAG
rnacentral:rRNA from 1 species